UUUUAGCAAAGGAACAGAAAUCUUUUUGAUUAAACAGAAAUAGAAACAAAAAUUCAGAAAGCAUUGAAGCCCGCAACUUAUAUUCACCUCAAAAUCUUGUUGAACUUUCUGAGGCUGCUCAUAAUUAGCGAAUUCAAUUUAGCUACACUACUAAAUAACAAUGCGUAAGUCCUGUAGAAAAUGCUUGUUUAUUCUUCUCUUUGCCAUUGAAUCAUGGAUUGAACUCAUAGAGACAGGAGCUAUGACUGGGAUCCAUUUCGGUAAUAAUGGCAGCUCCUCUGAAGUAGCAAGAUCCACCUUCGUGCUUGAAUUUCUGGAAGUAGUUGUUGAAAGCAUAUGAAGCAUGGUCUCUUACAGUGUUUGGUAAAUAGCAAGGCUGGUUCACUUGAAUCAUACUACAAUCUGCACCACCUUUCCCACAUGCCCAGUCCAAGGCUGCCUGCAACUCUUCAUCUGAGGUUUGCUCAUCUGCUAUGCACCAUUGCUCCAACUGCCCAUCUGAUCUUGGAGGAGUUAUAGACAUGAUUAGAAGAACAAGCAAUAUCCUUAGCCAGAAGAUUGCCAUCAUACUUAGAAAGAAAGAGAGAUAGAGAUGGUCUCAAUGGUACCGUAUCCACAAUUGGCUUGGUGUCUAGCUCCAAUAUACAGAGCAAAAAGAAAAAGAAAAAAAUUCUGCUCACUUGCUAUGUGCAAAAGUAAGAAUCUUGUGGCCAAUGGCACAUGUAGAGUGAGCAGGUUAAUGCGUUCCAUAUAAGCUGCUUACACCCUAACAAGAUCUCGAUGUUCAGGUCCUCUUUGUCGUUCCUGUAAAAUUUUUGUUCCAGUAUUUGCCCAUGACCUGCAGGUGUCACUCUCUGCCACUGGGCCUUACUUGGCUAAUCAGCUGACAAAUCCUGGCAUACCGUCUCAGCCAAAAUGGUUUUUCCAAGGAACUAAUUUGAAGUGCAGAAGCAAUAUCAAUCAAACUCAUGUUACAACAGCAUAAGC
rnacentral:misc_RNA from 1 species